UGGACUUACCAGCUGUGGGAACGUGGACA
rnacentral:piRNA from 1 species